rnacentral:rRNA from 1 species
AACGAACGCUGGCGGCAUGCCUAACACAUGCAAGUCGAACGAGACCUUCGGGUCUAGUGGCGCACGGGUGCGUAACGCGUGGGAACCUGCCCUUAGGUUCGGAAUAACUCCCCGAAAGGGGUGCUAAUACCGGAUAAUGUCUUCGGACCAAAGAUUUAUCGCGUUUGGAUGGGCCCGCGUUGGAUUAGCUAGUUGGUAGGGUAAAAGCCUACCAAGGCGACGAUCCAUAGCUGGUCUGAGAGGAUGAUCAGCCACACUGGGACUGAGACACGGCCCAGACUCCUACGGGAGGCAGCAGUGGGGAAUAUUGGACAAUGGGCGAAAGCCUGAUCCAGCAAGGCCGCGUGAGUGAUGAAGGCCUUAGGGUUGUAAAGCUCUUUUACCCGGGAUGAUAAUGACAGUACCGGGAGAAUAAGCUCCGGCUAACUCCGUG